CUGCUGCCGUGAAACCCCAGAGAAGAAGAGGAGGCGGGACUUACGUUGUGGUGACAAAAGUUUACAGUUGCUUGUUAUAACUGGAGACUGUAGUUACUCACCUUCUACUGCGUGUUUGUGCACCUCUCAACCUCGAUUAAGGAUAUGGAUAUGACAUGCUGUAAAUCAGUAGGAACUGAGCUGUCCAUGCUGGAUAUUGAUGAUUUCAUCACAGAAAUCUCUCUGCUGAAGAAAGAGGUGGCGUUACUGGAGACAAAGCUGAGGUCAAGAGGAGAUGAAGGAGUAAAGAGAGAGGAUGUGGUUUGUUGUGAAUCUUCAGUGUAUGUGACUGAUGAGAGUCUAGAUUCAGUGUGGGUCAGCAGCAGAGAUCAGACACCACAGCCACCACUGCUGGACAAACACACACAGGACUCAGAGCUCAGUCUCACUUUACUCUGUUAUACUGAGUCAAAGCCCACAGAAACUCAGGACACUACAGUGUGUGACAGUAAUCGGGGCUUAGAGGAUGAUCAAACCUCCACAGAGUCUCUGGAUUCUGUGUGUAAUGCUGGAGAACAGCAGCAGAUCCUGCAGACCACACUGAAGAUGUGUUCAGUCAAACUCAUCGACUGCAGGAACCUCAUGCUGAAAACUGAACCCAUAGCUGGAGAACAUCACACUGAGGAAGAUGAGGAACCCAUAGCUGAAGAACAUCACACUGAGGAAGAUGAGGAACCCAUAGCUGAAGAACAUCACACUGAGGAAGAUGAGGAACCCAUAGCUGAAGAACAUCACACUGAGGAAGAUGAGGAUUACGAUGAUGAUGGUGAUGAUGAUUUUAUUCCUUCAGCUGAAGAACAUGACACUGAGGAAGAUGAGGAUUAUGAUGGUGAUGAUUUUAUUCCUUCAGAUAAGAAGACUGAUUCAUGUUCGGAUGAAGAAAUAAUGUCCUCAACAUCAUCAAAAGAGCGACUGCCAGCACAAACGCUUUCCUCCGUUACAGAUGAAAAGACAUUCAGACAUUUAGAGAGAUGUGAUAGAAAACACACAGAGCAGAAAUUCUUCACCUGCACCAAAUGUAAGAUCAGCUUUACUACUGUACAAGAGCAGAGACAACAUAAUGCAAAAGUGCACCUAGUAAACAAGCAGAUUCACUGUGAGAAGUGUGGGGAGAAGUUUAAAUUCACAUCUGAGCUGAAACGGCACAUGAUGACACACGGUGAUAAAAAGCCUUUCUACUGCACUGAAUGUGGAAAUUACUUCACCACCAAAGUAAGUCUCGUUUCUCAUAAAAGAAUUCACACCGGAGAAAAACCAUACAAGUGUCCUCACUGUGAGAAGAGAUUUAGUAAAGCGUCCUAUGUUAAGAGACACGUGCUUUCUCACACCAAUGAGAGACCGUAUCCGUGCAGUGAAUGUGGAAAAGCCUUUAAGGAUUUAGGUUAUCUGAGGUCACAUCAAAAUCAACACAAGAAGAAGAAACCCUAUCAGUGUUCACACUGUAAGAAAGGUUUCGGUGACAAAGCUCAGCUGGUGUUACACGAGAGGAUUCACACUGGAGAGAAACCUUACAUCUGCUUUGACUGCGGAAAGAGCUUCUCUGAUCCAUCUCAUUUCAGAGAUCAUCAGAGAAUACACACUGGAGAAAAACCUCAUCCCUGUAAUGUUUGUGAGAAGAGAUUCAUUCGUCAUGAUCUUUUAGUGAGACACCAGAGAACUCAUACAGGUGAAAAACCUUACAAAUGCUCUUUUUGUGAUAAGAGGUUUGCUCAGUCAUUUUAUUGUAAAAUCCACGAGAGACGUCAUACUGGAGAAAAACCUUUCAAAUGCUCUUUUUGUGAUAAGAGGUUCACUGAAUCAUAUACCUUAAAAAACCACGAGAAGCUUCAUACUGAAGAAAAAUCUUUCAAAUGUUCUCAGUGUGAUAAGACGUUUCCUCAAUCAUACUUAAAAAUCCACGAGAGACUUCAUACUGGAGAAAAACCUUUUCAAUGUUCUCAUUGUGAAAAGACGUUUGCUCUGCCAUCUUACUUAAGAGUCCAUCAGAGAGUUCAUACUAGAGAAAAACCUUACCACUGCUCCAUCUGUGGAGAGAAAUUCACCAGCUCUGUAAAGUUUCAGACUCACAAGAAGAAACAUACUGAAGAACAAACUACACUGAAAUCAUCAUAGCGUCUUAAUCUGUAAUCUGGGCAAUACACGUGAAUUUGUUGAGAGAAUCGGUGAAUGCAGAAAUGUCUUUGGAAACCAUGUCAACUAAGCAGGUCUGUGUAUUCAACACCUGGCUCACUAAGACUAUGAAGAGAUAUAAAAAUUGACCUGAGAUUUACGCUUUAAAAAGUGUCAUACUUCCUGCUGUUAAACCAGUCAACAGUUUAUACAGUAUGUAUAGCCGAUAGCCUUGAUGUGCAUUAUAAACUGAAACAUCAUGUUCAUCAUCACCUUUUACUUGGGCAGUCCUAAACCCUAAACAAAUGAAAACUGAAUAUCCUACCUGCUGAAUUAAUACUUAGACUAUUUGACAAAAUGUACCAAAAUGAUAGACUGAAAUAAACAAAUAAUAAUGAUACAAACAAAUUAAAUUAAUACAACAUGCACAAUAAAAGCCUAGUUUGAGAAAAAAUAUUAAUAAUUAAAAUAAUCUUAAUGGGAAAUUUAGUGCAGUUUUGUUUCUAGAUUAGAGCAUUUUUGAGCAUCCAUUAUUUGGACAAACAGGACUGCUCAGACCAAUCCACAUAUGACAUUAAAGUAUUGCGAGUGCGAUUCGGGGACAGACAGCUUCAUAUGUGUUUUAUUCGCUUUCGCAGUACUUUGAUGUCCUACAACCUGUGCAGCACCGUUUAAGGUCGUUCAGCUGAUUCACCUCAGUGUUAAUUUCCUAAUCAUAAAUCGAAACCAUAUCGCUUGAGAAAAGGCGACAUCUCAAAUUUGUUUAAGUAAGUUCAGUUUCCUUAAAACUGUUGAUGUCCCAUAAAUAUCACACUUGUAUUGCGUGUUACAUGCAGUGGCGCCCCCAGAAAAUUUUAAUAGGGGUGGCUAGAGGAGGCCAUACCAAAUCAUGGGGUUGCACAAAAAAAUAGUGUUCUGUCAUACUUUUGGUUCUGGUUAAUGUAACGUUAAGCUUUUAAAUGCUCCUUAAAUAGUGUAGUCCUGUGCAAAUUGACAUGGAAGGUUUGUGUGUGUAAGCAGUUGAAAUAAACUGUAAUAUGUCAACUGGAAACGAUAUUAUGUAAUAUUUGUUCUAAAUGAAUGUAGUUUGUAUAUUGUAAAAUUAAGUUUAACAUAAUUAUGUUAACUUAUCACAAGUCAAAACUUAAAAUAAUAAGUUGAAUUGACUUGUUUUUACUUCAUGCUUCAUUUUCUUAGUGAAAGACCCUAAAUAUUACUGCAAAACUGUUUAUGACAUUUUAAGAAGACUAAAACUCAUAGUUUUUACAGUUCUUUUUUCUCAGCCUGGCCUUUCUUUUCAACGAUAUUGCUGCCAUCCCA